GAUGCUCUGGAACUGCGUCCUACAAAGUCAGUGAGGACUCUGGUGAAGUCUCCUCUCUGUGAGCAGACUGUUUCCGGGGCAAGAAGCUCACACGGCUUCCACCUUCCUGGGUCUAACCUCAGAGCAAGCAGCAUCCUCUGCCCCUCCAUGUGCUUCCCACAGCGAGUCUGCAUGGGGGGGCUCCUGGGGGAGCCAGAGGGUCCUGCCCCCCAAUUCCACAGUCAGACAUGACUCAGCCAACCAGUAAAACAGGUUUAUGAGAUGACAGGAACACGGUCUAAAACAGAACUUGUAGGUACAGAGAACAGGACCCCACAGCUGGGUCCAUUUUUGGGGGCAAUGAGCCAGACCUCCAUGUCUGCACUUCACUCCUCGUCCCCAGCCAGCUCCAAACUGAACCCCCCCAGCCCCUUCUCCUCUGGGCUUUGUCCCUUUCCUGGGCCAGAAGGUCACCUGAUUCCUUUGUUCUCCAACACCUUUAGCUAUCACCUGGCAGGGGGGAAGGGCCCAGGCUAUCAGUUGCCAGGACACAGUGUGUUGGCCAUGUAUGUCCACUGACCCUUUGCUCUGCAACAAUUACAUCCCCUUAUCCCACCACCUAGAGACUUAAGGAAUGCAUAGGGGAAACUGAGGCACCCCUACAGUAUUCAGAGGAAACAUUAAGAACAAUCCCACUUCGUCACACCCCGACUCUAGGAGGGGACUGGGGUGGACUGGUGAGAGCAGGGGGGCUGGGAGCCAGGACUCCUGGGUUCUAUUUCUGGAUCUGUGUGACCUUGGUAAGUGGCUUCUCCUCUGUCUCUCUGUGAAAUGGGGGUAAUACUGGUGCUCCCAGAGGUGCUGCAGGGGCUGACCCCCAGCUGUUUGCCAUGUGCUUUGAGAUCCUUGCAGGGGCAGCACUGUGGGAGCGCAGGGUGUCAUCAAGCAGAGCCCUGGCUGCAGCUCAUGGCUCCAGAACAACCUGCUCUUUCCCUCCGCACUGGGAUUGGGCUCUGCAGAGAAGGUACAUUCUGUGCUAUGCAAUCAGUGGCCCCAGCUGUUGGCAGGUUACUUCACUCGGAAACCCUUGCCCAUGGCCUGCUGUGCUUUCCCUUGCAGGGCAUCAGACAGGGCCCAGCCCACCACUCUGAGCCCCUCACAUCCCUGGCAGAGCAGGGGUGGGACAGUCCUUUAGCCAGCGCAGACCAGUGGAUUGUUCCAGCCCGCAGAGGGAAGGGCUGGGCACCACCAAAACAGCGGGGCUGAGCCGGAGGCCUUGCAGGGCCUCAAUAGAGCCACGUCUGUUUGCACCAGCAGGGAUCUAGCCCAUAGGUUUUCUCAGCUCCUGCAUCCAGCCCUCGCUUGUAAGCUGCCCACUCAGCCAAGCCAGCCUGGGUUGUGCCCCAGAGAGAGACAGAAGAGCAGAGAGACUCAUGUCCAUCUCCAGGCCAUCCCCAGCUGUAUCUAGGCUGCACCGUCCCUGCUAACCUGCCCUGCCCCAUGACUCUGAGAGCGACCUGGGCUCAGCACCCCCUGGUGCUGCCGCUGUUCUGGGUAUGCUCCCCCAGUGCAGGGAGGGAUCCUGGCUCCCCCAGCUCUGCACACCAGCUCCCCUGGAGCUGCGGCCAGCAGCAGCGUGGAAGGGCCCCGGGAGCUGAGCUCUGCCCAUGCAGGAAGGGGGGUGCAGCCUGGCUGUGCUGGUCGCCCUCUGGGGAGCACCGCUGAGAAGGAAUUAGAGGGACCUGACUGUGGGGGCCCUUGGGGAGCCCAGGGCAAUACUUCUCCCCUUCUCCCCCAUGUGCCCCCCAGCUGUGGCUUCCUCUCGGGGCCGGUGGAGUGAGUUUGCUGACAGUGGUGGAGCCAAUCCGAGGAGGAACGGGCCAUGUGUGAAGCGAGUUUGCUGGGUCUCAGCCCAGUUCUCACACUAUGUUGCCCUCACACCUUGCCGCAGUCAGGCCAAGAUUCUCAGGCUCCCCUCUCCCAGCGUGGGGCGAGGGGAAAGGCUUCUGCUGCAUUUGAGGGGACCAGGCUCGGGCCCCCUAGUGAUUGCUCAGCGUAGGAGGCCGCAUGGUCAGCAGCCCUCGAGGUUGGGGAGAUUCCUCCCGCCAUGCACAGCCACCCAGGGAGCAGGCACCCACUUGCCAGCCUGUUUUAUCUGCUCCUUGUGUUAAAUCCUGUGAUGGAGGGAACGAGCCCAGGCUGUAGCUGUGCCCUGAUGGCACAAGGAGAGUGAAGGGCCCUCCCUGGAUGUGGGCUGGGGCCUAGGUGCAGCCUUCACCUGUUCCUGGGCACCGGGGUUCUGCUGCUGACCCCCCGUUCUCUGGUAGGUGCGCAUGUGGGGGGGCAAGACCCCCAUCAGGGGUCAAUCGGCCAUAGCUCCACUGGAGUCAAUGGGGCCAGACCCCCAGCAGGGGUCAAUCGCCGUAGCUCCAUUGGCGUCAGUGGGCAGACCCAGGUGGUGUCGGUCGGCCGUAGCCCCAUUGGAGUCAAUGGGCAGACCCAGGUGGUGUCGGUCGGCCGUAGCCCCAUUGGAGUCAAUGGGCAGACCCAGGUGGUGUCGGUCGGCCGUAGCCCCAUUGGAGUCAAUGGGCAGACCCAGGUGGUGUCGGUCGGCCGUAGCCCCAUUGGCGUCAAUGGGCAGACCCAGGUGGUAUCGGUCGGACGUAGGCCCACUGGAGUCAAUGGGCAGGCCCGGGUGGUGUCAGUCGGCCGUAGCCCCAUUGGCGUCAACGGGCAGACCCAGGUGGUGUCGGUCGGCUGUCGCCCCAUGAACACCAACAGCACUGCACUGAUUUACAGCAGCUGAGGAUCUGAGCCUGGGCUAUUGGUUCUUCCUCCCCCCACCCUGCACGGUUCCAGUCUAGCUGUGCCCAGGUGGGGCUGCCUCGAGUGCAGAGGUGUAAUCAGACUCAAAGCCAGGUGGUCGUGGGCAUCUUGGCCUGGCUGGAGCCAGUUACAGCCUGUCCUGGAGGCGCCGUCUUCUUCCUGUCCCAAACUGUGGCAGGUUGUUGCUCCGCGGCUGUUCACCAGCCGCCACCCCUCCCCCAGAACCACCGACAGGUCCGGACUGGCGGAGCAAUCCGGGUGCAGCGCAGCGGACAGUGUCACGUCCUGCCUAAGCCAUGGUUCCGUUUCAGUGCUGGACUGACACUGAUGAAAGGCAAGUCAGGAUCGGGCCCAAUAGGUCUGAUUUGGAAGGGUAGUGUGAAAGUAGAACGAAUUAUAUUGUGAAAAUAGAAAGGAUUAAAGAAAUGCUGUCUGUACCUUUAAGUAAAACUGUUGGAAUGCUGCAAUCCAGGUGUCAGGAAUACAGACAUUCACAUAGAACAAUUGCACCAUUUAAGGGCAAUUGGUGAAGUAUUAGCCUUAGAUCGAUAAGAGUUAGUAAGGAAAUAGGAUAUGCAUGCUGU